AAUCUGCCCAUAUCAUCUGGGAUAACACAACGCAAAGAUGUCGCUAAUACCGAAUAACAUACAAGUUGCGGCAUCGCAAAUGUAUCACAGUCAAAGCGGAUAUGGAUGAGCCUGCGUCUGAUUAGCUAGUUGGUAGGCUAAAGGCCUACCAAGGCAACGAUCAGUAGACGACCUGAGAGGGUGAUCGGCCACACUGGAACUGAUACACGGUCCAGACUCCUACGGGAGGCAUCAGUGGGGAAUAUUGCACACUGGGCGCCAGCCUGAUGCAGCAACGCCGCGUGAACGAA
rnacentral:rRNA from 1 species